rnacentral:lncRNA from 1 species
UUCAAGAGUCUUUAUUGAACGUUUUAACUUCAUUUUUAGACUCAAGUGUCACGUCAAGCAAAAAGCUUAGAGUUUCAAGCUAAGUAAAGAGUCUCAAGUUUCAAGUUGAGUAAAGAGUUUAAAGUUGAGUUCAUUUCUCAAAGUUAUUAGGGAACUAUGUAUUCCCAAAGAAGUUUUAAAGAAAUGUCUUUACAUUUAAACAAGGUUGGAAACUGAGAUUUCCAAAGAGCCUUCGGGAUAGUUUUUUUUUUGAGUAAUUACCUCAAUCGGCAGGAAGACAUAUGUUUUAAAAACAUAAGAGCCAGUACAUUUUUGGGAGUAGUAUCGAGCACCGAAUUGGGGGAGCGUUCAAAGAACCCACAGCCCCCAUAGAACCAUGUUAGCCACCAUGGG